ACUAACAUCCAUCAACCUUAAAAAAAAAUUAAAGUUAAAAAGAUUAACAUUGUGCAAGAAUAAUAUUUAGAGUCAUUUUUUUCCAAAUAACUUUGUGAUUUCAGGGAGGGCUAAAAUGUCCAGUUUAGUUUCAGUCUGAGCCGACUGUCCAGUCCAUUUCAGUCUGAGCCGACUGUCCAGUCCAUUUCAGUCUGAGCCGACUGUCCAGUCCAUUUCAGUCUGAGACAUGUUCCUUUGCGCUCCAAGGCUAUGAACCUUUAAGCAGG
rnacentral:lncRNA from 13 species